rnacentral:tRNA from 1 species
GCCUGACUGGCUCAGUUGGUAGAGCACGUGACUCUUGAUCUUGGGGUUUUGAAUUCAAGCCCCACGUUGGGUG